ACGGGAGGCAGCAGUGGGGAAUAUUGGACAAUGGGGGAAACCCUGAUCCAGCGACGCCGCGUGAGUGAAGAAGUAUUUCGGUAUGUAAAGCUCUAUCAGCAGGGAAGAUAAUGACGGUACCUGACUAAGAAGCCCCGGCUAACUACGUGCCAGCAGCCGCGGUAAUACGUAGGGGGCAAGCGUUAUCCGGAUUUACUGGGUGUAAAGGGAGCGUAGACGGAAGGCCAAGUCUGAUGUGAAAACCCAGGGCUCAACCCUGGGACUGCAUUGGAAACUGGUCAUCUAGAGUGCAGGAGGGGUAAGCGGAAUUCCUAGUGUAGCGGUGAAAUGCGUAGAUAUUAGGAGGAACACCGGUGGCGAAGGCGGCUUACUAGACUGUAACUGACGUUGAGGCUCGAAAGCGUGGGGAGCAAACAGGAUUAGAUACCCUGGUA
rnacentral:rRNA from 1 species